UGUGACUAGAAAAGUUUAACAUAGGUGGCCACAGCUAUGGGUAAGCUGGUAGAGAUAGACUGGCGACCUCUGUUUGGAAGGUUUUUUUUUUUUGCUAUGAUUAGGAUCAAUGUCAAGUGCAGCAACGUCCCAAGACACAGAAUCAUAGAGAUGGCUGAUGAUAUCACUAGUACACUUUGUUUUUUAAUUGGAAAUAAAAGCACAGUAGGG
rnacentral:lncRNA from 1 species